UCUCAUUCAAGUUCUGUUAGUCUUCAACCUCCCUGAGCUUCAGAGAACAGAAAAGAUGGCCCCCAGUGAGGACAGUGGUGGUGUUCCUGCCAUGGCCCAACUAGGAGACACCCAUCUUCUGAAAAGGAGGCCCCCAGGCAGCAUGUGUAUCACAAAAUUCAUGAAUAAGCACAGCCAUGAAAGGCAGAUUGGAGCUGGGGAUGUAGAUGGCUUCCAGGUGGACGCAAGAGGAGGAAGAGUGACCAUAUGUUCAUGGACACCCAGAUGUUAGGAAGUCCAGGCCCCAUGUAGCACCAUUUCUGGAGCUGAGGGUUCAGUUGGAAUGUACACUAGUGAGAGCCUGCUGCCCACAAGUUGCUCAGCCCCUCCUG
rnacentral:lncRNA from 1 species